GCUGGGGGUGGGGGUGCACACCUGUAAUUCUAGCAGCUUGGGAGGCUGAAGCAGGAGGAUUGUGAGUUAAAGUCAGCCUCAGCAACUUAGCCUAAGCAACUCAGUGAGACCCUGACUCUA
rnacentral:sRNA from 1 species